UACGUAGGGUGCGAGCGUUAAUCGGAAUUACUGGGCGUAAAGCGUGCGCAGGCGGUUUUGUAAGUCAGAUGUGAAAUCCCCGGGCUUAACCUGGGAACUGCGUUUGAAACUACAAGGCUAGAGUGUGGCAGAGGGGGGUGGAAUUCCACGUGUAGCAGUGAAAUGCGUAGAGAUGUGGAGGAACACCGAUGGCGAAGGCAGCCCCCUGGGUUAACACUGACGCUCAUGCACGAAAGCGUGGGGAGCAAACAAG
rnacentral:rRNA from 1 species